ensembl:lncRNA
CCCAUAGAGCCCAUAAGCCCCAUAGAGCCCAUAGCCGCCCCAUAGAGCCCCAUAGAGCCCCAUAGAGCCCCAUAGCCGCCCCAUAGAGCCCCAUAGACCCCCAUAGAGCCCCAUAGCCGCCCCAUAGAGCCCCAUAGAGCCCCAUAGAGCCCCAUAGAGCCCUAUACCUGCCCCAUAGAGCCCCAUAGAGCCCCAUAGCCGCCCCAUAGAGCCCCAUAGAGCCCCAUAGAGCCCCAUAGCCGCCCCAUAGAGCCCCAUAAGAGCCCCAUAGAGCCCUAUACUGCCCCAUAGAGCCCCAUAGAGCCCCAUAGCCGCCCCAUUAGAGGCCCAUAGAGCCCCCAUAGCGUCCCAUAGAGCCCCAUAGACCCCCAUAGACCGCC